rnacentral:rRNA from 1 species
UACGUAGGGUGCAAGCGUUAUCCGGAAUUAUUGGGCGUAAAGAGCUCGUAGGCGGUUUGUCGCGUCUGCUGUGAAAACUGGAGGCUCAACCUCCAGCCUGCAGUGGGUACGGGCAAACUAGAGUGCGGUAGGGGAGAUUGGAAUUCCUGGUGUAGCGGUGGAAUGCGCAGAUAUCAGGAGGAACACCGAUGGCGAAGGCAGAUCUCUGGGCCGUAACUGACGCUGAGGCGCGAAAGCGUGGGGAGCGAACGGG